rnacentral:misc_RNA from 1 species
GAUGAAGAACGUAGCGAAAUGCGAUACGUAAUGUGAAUUGCAAAUUCAGUGAAUCAUCGAGUCUUUGAACGCACAUUGCGCCCCCUGGUAUUCCGGGGGGCAUGCCUGUCCGAGCGUCAUUGCUGCCCUCAAGCACGGCUUGUGUGUUGGGCCCCGUCCUCCGAUCCCGGGGGACGGGCCCGAAAGGCAGCGGCGGCACCGCGUCCGGUCCUCGAGCGUAUGGGGCUUUGUCACCCGCUCUGUAGGCCCGGCCGGCGCUUGCCGAUCAACCCAAAUUUUUAUCCAGGUUGACCUCGGAUCAGGUAGGGACACCCGCUGAACUUAAGCAUAUCAAUAAGCGAGGA